rnacentral:tRNA from 1 species
CGGAGAUAGCCCAGCCCGGUAAGACGCAAGACUGGAAAUCUUGUGGGAUUUUUCCCUCGGGAGUUCAAAUCUCCCUCUCCGCGCCAC